AUACGGAGGGGGCAAGCGUUGUUCGGAUUUACUGGGUGUAAAGGGUGUGUAGGCGGUCGGGCAAGUUAGAUGUGAAAUCUCCGAGCUCAACUCGGAAAUGGCAUUUAAUACUGCUUGACUAGAGUACGAAAGAGGGAGAUGGAAUUCUCGGUGUAAGAGUGAAAUCUGCAGAUAUCGAGAGGAACACCAGUAGCGAAGGCGAUCUCCUGGGUCGAUACUGACGCUGAAACACGAAAGCUAGGGGAGC
rnacentral:rRNA from 1 species